GAUGAACGCUGGCGGCGUGCCUAAUACAUGCAAGUCGAGCGAACGGACGAGAAGCUUGCUUCUCUGAUGUUAGCGGCGGACGGGUGAGUAACACGUGGAUAACCUACCUAUAAGACUGGGAUAACUUCGGGAAACCGGAGCUAAUACCGGAUAAUAUUUUGAACCGCAUGGUUCAAAAGUGAAAGACGGUCUUGCUGUCACUUAUAGAUGGAUCCGCGCUGCAUUAGCUAGUUGGUAAGGUAACGGCUUUCCAAGGCAACGAUGCAUAGCCGACCUGAGAGGGUGAUCGGCCACACUGGAACUGAGACACGGUCCAGACUCCUACGGGAGGCAGCAGUAGGGAAUCUUCCGCAAUGGGCGAAAGCCUGACGGAGCAACGCCGCGUGAGUGAUGAAGGUCUUCGGAUCGGAAAACUCUGUUAUUAGGGAAGAACAUAUGUGUAAGUAACUGUGCACAUCUUGACGGUACCUAAUCAGAAAGCCACGGCUAACUACGUG
rnacentral:rRNA from 1 species